rnacentral:rRNA from 1 species
AUAAGAGCAUUAGGUGGAUGCCUUGGCAUUAAUUUUAUUUUAGGACGUAAUAAAUGCGAAAAUUUCUGUAAAAUUUUAAUAAAUUAUGAACAGAAGUCUCCUAAAGAAAACUCUUUCUUUGUGAAAAAUAAAUAAAUAGUGAACUGAAAUAUCUAAGUAACUAUUAUAAAAAAGCAAACGUGGUGCCGUGAGUAAUGACGAGUGAAAAUGGUAAAGGUUUAUAAUUUAAUUUAAAUUACUUGAAAAAUUUUGAAAAAUUUACGCAAGAAGGUGAAAGUCCUGUAAAAAUAAUUUAAUUAAAGAAAUAGUAAAAAAAGUUAAGUGAAAUCUUUUUUGAAAAAUGGGGGACCACCCUCAAACCUUUAAAAAUUAAUGAUCGAUAGUGAACAAGUACUGUAAAGGAAAGGUGAAAAAGCACUUUUGUGGAUUGAAAUAAUUCUGAAACUUAAUGUUAAUUAUCAAUUGGAACUUUCAAAAUUUAAAGUAAAGUGACAAUGUACCUUUUGCAUAAUGGGCCAGCAAGUUUAUUUUUAUAGCAAGCUUAAUCAAAAGAUAAUAGGCGUAGAGAAAUCAAGUUUUAAAUUGCAAAAAAGUUAUAAAAAUAAGACCCGAAACCGAGUGAUCUAACCAUGAACAGAUUGAAGAAUGGGUGAAACUGUUUGGAGGAUCGAACUCACAUGUGUGGCAAAAUAUGGAGAUGAUUUGUGGUUAGGGGUGAAAGGCCAAUCAAACUCGGAGAUAGCUGGUUUUCCGCGAAAUCUAUUGAAGUAGAGCGUUUAAUAUCUUUUUUUGGGGUAGAGCACUCAUUGAGCUAGGGGGCGUAAAAACUUACUGAACUUUUCGAAACUACGAAUACAAAAAAAUGAAAUUAAAUAGACAGACACUAGGCGCUAAGGUCUUUUGUCAAGAGGGAAACAGCCCUGAUUGUUCGUUAAGGUCUCCAAAUUAUUUCUAAGUGAAAAAGGGGGUUAAAGAAUAAAAACAACCAACAGGUAGGCUUGGAAGCAGCCAUCCUUUAAAGAAAGCGUAAUAGCUCAUUGGUCUAGUUUUUUGGCACCGAAAAUGUAUCGAGACUAAAGAAAUAUACCGAAACGACAAAUUUUUAUUUAAAAAUAAAAAUGGUAGCGGAACAUUCCGUAUGUUAAAGAAAAUGUAUCGAAAGAUAGAAUUAGAAACAUCGGAAAAGAAAAUGCUGGCAUUAGUAACAAAAAAUAAUGAAAUAAAUCAUUAUCACCGUAAAUCCAAGGGUUUCUAUGUAAGGAUGUUCUUCAUAGAGUGAAACGGCCCCUAAGGUCGAUUUGACGAAAGCAAAUAAUAAACUGAUGGGAUAAUUGUUAAAAUUCAAUUUUUUUCUUAAAGUGACAGGAAUUAUUCAUUUUAAUUCUUCAAGAAAGAACUUUUUGAAAAUCAAACCGUACCCUAAACCGACACAGGUGGAUAGGUCGAAUAGACUAAGGUGGAUGAGAGAACUAUAUUGAAGGAACUCGGCAAAUUAACUCUGUAACUUCGGGAGAAGGAGGACCUAUGGAAAAUAGGUGGCACAGAAUUGGGGGUUGCGACUGUUUAAUAAAAACACAGGACUCUGCAAAAUGGUAACAUGAUGUAUAGGGUCUGACACCUGCCCGGUGCUGGAAGAUUAAAAGGAGAUGUUUAAGCAUUAAAUGGAAGUCCCAGUAAACGGCGGCCGUAACUCUGACGGUCCUAAGGUAGCGAAAUUCCUUGUCGGGUAAGUUCCGACCUGCAUGAAUGGUGUAACGACAUCCCCGCUGUCUCCAAUAUAGACUCAGUGAAUUUGAAAUAUCCGUGAAGAUGCGGAUUAUCUAUAGUUAGACGGAAAGACCCCGUGAACCUUUACUACAUCUUUACAUUGUUGUUUUAUUUAAUAUGUGUAGCAUAAGUGGGAAUCUUUGAGACUUUCACACAAGUGAUUCGUUUAGAUAUACAUGAAAUACCACUCUUAUUAAAAUAAAUAACUACUAUUAUAUCAAAAGAUAAGAUUAAAAGUGUAUGGUUGGUAGUUUGACUGGGGCGGUCACCUCCUAAAGAGUAACGGAGGUGUACAAAGGUAAGUUCAAAUUGGAUUUUUAAAUCAAUUGUAGAGCGCAAUGGUAAAAGCUUGCUUGACUGUAAGAUAGACAUAUCAAACAGGGACGAAAGUCGGUCAUAGUGAUCCGAUAAUUCUUCGUGGAAAGAUUAUCGCUCAACGGAUAAAAGGUACUCCGGGGAUAACAGGCUGAUGACUCCUAAGAGCUCCUAUCGACGGAGUCGUUUGGCACCUCGAUGUCGACUCAUCGCAUCCUGGGGCUGAAGAAGGUCCCAAGGGUUCGGCUGUUCGCCGAUUAAAGUGGUACGUGAGUUGGGUUUAGAACGUCGUGAGACAGUUUGGUUCCUAUCUUCUAUAGGCUUUUAUGAAAAAUGCAAGACUCUGACUCUAGUACGAGAGGACCGAGAAGGGUAAAUCUCUGGUGUAUCGGUUGUUUUUUAAAGCAGCGCCGAGUAGCUAAAUUUAUAAUGGAUAAUUACUGAAAGCAUCUAAGUAAGAAACCAGUCUUAAUAUUUUUUCAAAUGAAAACUGUAAAAGAACAUUACUUUGAUAGGUUUAAAGUGUAAGUAUUGUAAAAUAUUUAGCUUAUAAAUACUAAUUGUUUCAAAAAAAAUUAA